GCGAUAUUCGGCUAAAGUGAAAGUAGGAGUUGAACGCCUUGUUUCACUAAAAGGAACAUUGCCCAGAUAUUUUCUCUGGACUACCAAUUUCUGUACUUCAUUUGAUGCCUGUUUUGGAGCCCUCCCAUGAACCUCCCUUGUAGGUGUUCUAUAAUAAGGUAAACAGUCUGGAUGAAGAAAGGUCACAUCAGAGGUUAUUCUUAAGUUAUGAAAAUCUUCAAUCUCUUUUUGGAGGGACUGUUUCUGAUCAUCAUCUUGUAGCUUACUAACACAGAUUUCAAAAAUAAAGUGGAAAUGGUUCUAAUGACAGAGGUUUUGUCCUUGUUGGUUUGUCUCAACAGUUAAUCUUUUGGAAAACAGUGUUGGAGAAAAUAUUAGCAACAUAUGAAGACUCUGAUCUAGUUUAUUACAAUGUGACUUGAAAGUUAUUUCUGAUGUCAUGGUAGUAUAUACACAUGUGUUGAACUUUCCGAACAUCGUUGAAAAAGAUCAUAUGAUGACCAUAAACAAAAAAUACAUACAUGAACUUUCCACAAGUUUCCAAUGAAGAACAUUUUGGGAUCUUGGUAAAGGAUAUUAUAAUAAGAUUUUUAACCUAAUUUAUAUGUGUUCUUGUUCAGUGCUUUCAAGACUGAUUUAAAAACAUUUUGUGCAUUUAAACCAGUACUUAGAACACAGGUCUCAGAUAUCCUAAUACUCCAGUUACAUUGUUAAGAUUGAAGUUUAUUUAUAAAAUGAAAUUAUACCUUAUAUCUUUAAAGAAACUUUUAAAAAAUGAGUCAAACUUGUAUCUGCUGGUUAACAUGUUAAAAGAAAUAUAAUAUUCUGGA